AAUUCACGGUCGAUUCAGCAACCAGUGAAGAUCGUAUCCGUCUAUUCUCACGGAGAGCACGCCGUAAGUCGAAAUGUGUGGCCGCGGGAACGGUGGUAAGCGCCAGGGGAGAGUGCUAAGAGUCGCCUUACCGUCCACGACAACAGGCACGUCACCGCCAAUCGGCUGGCGCGCCAAGGAACUUUCAAGAGAACCUCCGGGCUCGUCUACGAAAUGCGUGGUCCGCAGGAACUGAGUUAAGAGGCCGGGGAAGAGUUACCGUACCGUCCGACAACACCCACGGCACCACCAAACUAGCCAUCUGGCUCGCCAAGGAACUUUCAAGGGAACUUCCCCCGGGCUCGGCUACGAAAUUUGGGCCGCCGGAAAGAAUACAAGCGGCUGGGGAAGACAGGUGAUAAGAGCUACCGUACCGUCCGCGACAACGUCCACGACACCGCCAAACUAGCCGGCUGGCUCGCCAAGAGGCCGCAAAGGUAGCCUCCGGACUCGUCUUCGAGGAGAUUGGCUGUAUUUUUCAAGUGGUGGGUGAGGAAUGUGACGCGUGCGUCCCCGAACCGACUCCGUGUUACACGUACAUACGCAGUACCUGAGGUACCGUCAAGACUCGACUGAUGACUGGAUUUGAAUCACCACGCACACGGAAUGUGAUGCGUGCGUGCGGACCUGCCCUACGUUAACACCAACUGGCGACACGGGAUCUUACUGUUGUUCAUGGCGACCGGACCAGGAAGAACGCAUUGUCCAUGCCCAGAACAGUCGGUGUCCGUGUGUGCGGCCUGCUAGAGGAACCAGUGGAUGUCACCUGGUAGAGCGCAUAAGGAAAUCUUGCUACGUGCCCAUUUUCCAUGUAGCAUAGGCAGGCUGUGUUGAUGUUAUUUUUAGAAAAGGCAGUCGGCACAUGAUUCGUAGUGAGGCGGAAAUGUCAAAUUUUCUAGCGCAAUACGAAGGAUGUUAUUUGGUGAACUUAGCGUAAAGCGUUAUCGGAACAAGCAAACCCAUGCAGACCGUUUUAGCAGCCUUUUGUUAGCAACGUCAUUUUCCCAAAAUAUAUUAAGCUAUUCCAGUACAGAACUCGAGAUGACUAGCACUAAAUUUUCUUGUUUCUAUGCCUUUGCACUGACUAAGACGUUUGCUCUCUAUUUGAGCCGUUUUUGAUUCACGUAUUUUGCUUCCGUUCUUGUACAACAGUGGUCAACGGUUUAGAAUUUAGCAAAUGUUGGUAUUGCCGGUGUCAUUGGUGUUGAGGUAGGUUGGGGUCUUUUGUACUUGAAGCCCUGUAGAAAGUUGGCUGCUGAAGGCUUAGGCUGACGUUCGGACACUUAACAUCGCGUGCUAAAGCACACACGCACAUGCACGCACACACUAACACUACAUCUAACAAUGGCGCCUUAACGUCUACGACCACCACCCAGCACAAUAAGCCAAUAACAUAUUAAUACACUAACAUUGGGAACAAAUGUCUCGGCCUUAAAGAAAAAAGCAGCAAAAAAAAACUUUCCACGGGACUACAAGUACGGAAGGCUUCAGGUUAUCCCCACCAAUGCACUGAUGAUAUCAACAUUUGCUAAUUCUGAACUGUUCGCCACUGUUGUCCUAGAAUAGAGGCAAAAUAUGUGAAAACACACGAGCUUAGAGAGUAAAGGUCUUUUGUUUUCAAAUGUGGUCUUUAUAUAUAGUUGUAAGCUUUGCUUAAGUCAUUGACAGUUCUGUACUUUUAGCGAUGUGUUGCAUUUCCAUGCAGUUAUGAGUGCAUGUGAGACUAUUGUUUUCAUAGCUGAUAUGUAAUUCAUUAUUCAGCUGUAGGUUGUGUCACGUAUCGCUAGCUAUUAUGCUUGACUUGGUCUGCUUGUGUUUCUUGUUCGUGGCCUUUGUAGACCGCUUUACUGUUGUUUCAUAAUCUUGUAAAUAAAGCAUUGACCUUGAUUACGUGUACCUAAAUUUUGUCUUAGUGGAAUUUGUCAGGCAAAAAGGAAGAAGCAAACUAAACGUAUCCGAAUGAGAUACUGUAUGUAAACGCAGUGUAGAUAGACGACUGUUUUGUUGUUCUGAUAGGAUCUACGCUUGUUCGUUGUCGACUACCUCUGUCGUAUUUUCAGUCCAGUAUCUGAAAAUAAAUGAAUAUUAGUUGUGUGUCCAUUCAUUUACACUGAAAGCAGUGAAUAAAAGAGCCUUUUGCUCUCACUUUGCUUUUAUAUUUCUUGUGUUUCGCUUCAUUCUUGUACAA